rnacentral:rRNA from 1 species
UACGGAGGGUGCAAGCGUUAUCCGGAUUCACUGGGUUUAAAGGGUGCGUAGGUGGGCAAGUAAGUCAGUGGUGAAAUCUCCGGGCUUAACCCGGAAACUGCCAUUGAUACUAUUUGUCUUGAAUACUGUGGAGGUCAGCGGAAUAUGUCAUGUAGCGGUGAAAUGCUUAGAUAUGACAUAGAACACAAUUGCGAAGGCAGCUGGCUACACAAAUAUUGACACUGAGGCACGAAAGCGUGGGGAUCAAACAGG